AGAUAUCAUAUAGAAGACUAGAUGCCCUAUUGGCCGCUGGGGACUGAGAAAUACGGCGGCCAUCUUAAACCGGUCGUUCUCCUAGUUUCGUUGCAUGGCAGCAGAUAAGAUGUCAGAGCACUGUGGAGCAUUUUCCUGUUCUAAUCGGCGAACGAUCGCAAAUAGAGCCCGGAGGAUUAUUUUCACAAGUACUUUUUAACAUCGCGGUACUAUUGGUUGUAUUUUGUGAAUAGAAUAUUAACAGAAAAUUGAGAAAGAGCCAGCUUAUUGAUUUUACUGUACUGAAAUCGUAGCCAGCUAACGUUCGCUAGGCUAUGUUUACUGCACCAGCCGCUGUUCACCCUGCAAGGAGAGUGGGGUGCUGUGAGCUGCGUGAUCCGCCGAGCUUUAAAAAGCUAAGAUGUCAACAGGAACAGAGGAUGUUUUCCUUCGUAGGGAGGACAUUGAGGAGACUCGGUUUGGAAUCGACAACUAUCAGUCUGACUCGUUGUCACUGGUUGUGUCUGUGUUUUUAAAGAUAAGGCUCCACCAUGUUGCCAAACUCACAUCUCUUGAACUACAGAAAGGGAGCACGGGAAAGAAGCUCUGGAAAACAGUCCUCUUUCAGGGGUGUGUGUGUGUGUAUGUGUGCGUGCGUGCGUGCGCGCGCGUGUGGGGGGGUUUACAAAUCAUUUUAAAUUGUUUCUUCACCAUAUUAAAAAGUCUUAUUUUAUUGCAA